rnacentral:rRNA from 1 species
CACCUCUAGCAUCAGNCGUAUUAGAGGCACUGCCUGCCCAGUGACAAUUAAAGUUUAACGGCCGCGGUAUCCUGACCGUGCAAAGGUAGCAUAAUCACUUGUUCUUUAAAUAAGGACUAGUAUGAAAGGCUUGACGAGGGUUUAACUGUCUCUUACUUACAGUCAGUGAAAUUGACCUUCCCGUGAAGAGGCGGGAAUAAAACAAUAAGACGAGAAGACCCUAUGGAGCUUUAAUUCACUAACUCAUUUUUACCAAACUUAAUCUACAAGAGACAAAAAACAAAUUAUGAGUUAACAAUUUUGGUUGGGGUGACCUCGGAGUAAAACCAACCCUCCGAAUGAUAUUAACCAAGACUUACAAGUCAAAGUUCCUAUCAUAAAUUGACCCAGAACAAUCUGAUCAACGAACCAAGUUACCCUAGGGAUAACAGCGCAAUCCUAUUUAAGAGUCCAUAUCGACAAUAGGGUUUACGACCUCGAUGUUGGAUCAGGACACCCCAAUGGUGCAACCGCUAUUAAAGGUUCGUUUGUUCAACGAUUAAAGUCCU